rnacentral:tRNA from 1 species
CUCGAUCGUGGUGAGGUAGGUGUCGUCGUCCUCGUCCGACGACCGGCGGUCCCGGUAUUCGACGACCUGAUCGUUGCGGGGGUCGAAC